rnacentral:lncRNA from 1 species
GGAUUUACGCGCACGUUGGAACCGAAGAGAGCUCUGUUGUUGCAAUGUUCAGCCCACAAGACCUUACUGGUGAAGGAAUGGGACAAGACCCAUCUUUAUGCAAAGCCAGCGUUACAGUAAUGUCCCAGGUAUUCCUGAUGACAGUCUGCCUUCUAUCUUACAGUACUACUAACCAAUAACCUGCUUGGCUCAAAGGGCCAGCACCUUCUCUCUAAAGCCCAAGAGGAGUUUGAGGAAAACUAGGUGUCUGUGUUCACUCCAGGCUGAAGUUACAGGAAUCUGUCUUGGAGGACAUCGGAAGGUGAAUUUUCCAAGUCCUUGGACAACCUAGCUGUUGAAAAGCUUUCU